rnacentral:rRNA from 1 species
UACAGAGGUGGCAAGCGUUGUUCGGAAUUACUGGGCGUAAAGGGCGCGUAGGCGGUUCGAUAAGUCCCGUGUGAAAUCCCUCGGCUCAACUGAGGAACUGCACGGGAAACUGACGGGCUUGAGUUCGGAAGAGGGAAGCGGAAUUUCCGGUGUAGCGGUGAAAUGCGUAGAUAUCGGAAGGAACACCAGUGGCGAAAAGCGGCUUCCUGGUCCAGCACCGACGUUCAGGCACGAAAGCGUGGGGAGCAAACAGG